GACGAACGCUGGCGGCGUGCUUAACACAUGCAAGUCGAACGAUGAAGCCCAGCUUGCUGGGUGGAAGAGUGGCGAACGGGUGAGUAACACGUGAGUAACCUGCCCCUGACUCUGGGAUAAGCGCUAGAAAUGGCGUCUAAUACUGGAUAUGACCUAUCACCGCAUGGUGUGUAGGUGGAAAGAUUUAUCGGUUGGGGAUGGACUCGCGGCCUAUCAGCUUGUUGGUAAGGUAAUGGCUCACCAAGGCGACGACGGGUAGCCGGCCUGAGAGGGUGACCGGCGACACUGGAACUGAGACACGGCCCAGACUCUUACGGGAGGCAGCAGUGGGUAAUAUUGCACAAUGGGCGCAAGCCUGAUGCAGCAACGCCGCGUGAGGGAUGACGGCCUUCGGGUUGUAAACCUCUUUUAGUAGGGAAGAAGCGCAAGUGACGGUACCUGCAGAAAAAGCACCGGCUAACUACGUGCCAGCCGCCGCGGUAA
rnacentral:rRNA from 1 species